GAUGAACGCUGGCGGCGUGCCUAAUACAUGCAAGUCGAGCGAACAGAUGAGGAGCUUGCUCCUCUGACGUUAGCGGCGGACGGGUGAGUAACACGUGGAUAACCUACCUAUAAGACUGGGAUAACUUCGGGAAACCGGAGCUAAUACCGGAUAAUAUAUUGAACCGCAUGGUUCAAUAGUGAAAGACGGUUUUGCUGUCACUUAUAGAUGGAUCCGCGCCGCAUUAGCUAGUUGGUAAGGUAACGGCUUACCAAGGCAACGAUGCGUAGCCGACCUGAGAGGGUGACCGGCCACACUGGAACUGAGACACGGUCCGGACUCCUACGGGAGGCAGCAGUAGGGAAUCUUCCGCAAUGGGCGAAAGCCUGACGGAGCAACGCCGCGUGAGUGAUGAAGGUCUUCGGAUCGUAAAACUCUGUUAUUAGGGAAGAACAAAUGUGUAAGUAACUAUGCACGUCUUGACGGUACCUAAUCAGAAAGCCACGGCUAACUACGUG
rnacentral:rRNA from 1 species